rnacentral:rRNA from 1 species
CCGCAAGGCACCGGCGAACGGCUUAGUAACACGUAGAUACAUACCGUAAAGUGGGGCAUAGCUCGUUGAAAAACGGGGUAAUUUCCCAUAGUCCCGCAAGGGUAAAGGCGCAAGCCGCUUUAUGAAUGGUCUGCGGUCUAUCAGCUAGUUGGUGAGGUAAUGGCUGACCAAGGCUAUGACGGAUAGGGGGCGUGAGAGCGCGACCCCCAAGAAUGGCACUGCGACACGGGCCAU